rnacentral:tRNA from 1 species
AGGCGAUUAGCUCAGUGGUAGAGCACCUCCAAUACAUGGAGGGGGUCGAAGGUUCAAAUCCUCUCAUCGCCUACCA